UGAACGCUGGCGGCGUGCCUAAUACAUGCAAGUCGAGCGAACAGACGAGGAGCUUGCUCCUCUGACGUUAGCGGCGGACGGGUGAGUAACACGUGGAUAACCUACCUAUAAGACUGGGAUAACUUCGGGAAACCGGAGCUAAUACCGGAUAAUAUAUUGAACUGCAUGGUUCAAUAGUGAAAGACGGUUUUGCUGUCACUUAUAGAUGGAUCCGCGCCGCAUUAGCUAGUUGGUAAGGUAACGGCUUACCAAGGCAACGAUGCGUAGCCGACCUGAGAGGGUGAUCGGCCACACUGGAACUGAGACACGGUCCAGACUCCUACGGGAGGCAGCAGUAGGGAAUCUUCCGCAAUGGGCGAAAGCCUGACGGAGCAACGCCGCGUGAGUGAUGAAGGUCUUCGGAUCGUAAAACUCUGUUAUUAGGGAAGAACAAAUGUGUAAGUAACUAUGCACGUCUUGACGGUACCUAAUCAGAAAGCCACGGCUAACUACGUG
rnacentral:rRNA from 1 species